AGAGGGGGUGUGAAAUUACUUUCCCGAAACAACCCCACAGUUGAAGCUGAAGCUACAAACGAAGCCUUUUGGGCCAGAAAACGGAUCUCUUCGUUCAAAAACCUCGAAGAAGCUUCCAAUCCCUCUCGCUCCUCCCCGUCCCUUCUCUCUCAUCAAACUUCCAAAACCCAAUUCGAAAGGGGAGACAGACAUGGCUUCCGCGAGCAACCGUCACACAAACCCUCACCGCCUCUCUCUUCACCAUUCUCCCCAAAUCCCCAACCCUAACCCUAACCCUAACCCCAACCUCACCACCACCGACAGCAAAAACCCCACCCCUCUCCGCCUCCGCUCCGACUCGCCCCAGACGGCGGAGCCAAUCAACAACAUCAAUAACGACAACAACCACGCGUCGUCUUCUGCGAUGGCGCUCGACGGGUCCGACUCGGACUCGGCCGUACUGUCCCGGUCCGAGUUCCUGACCCGGCAGGAGGUCCUAUCGCGCCGGUCGCGCCGGCUCAAGCGACUGGCGAAGGUGUACAGGGAGCAUUACUGGUCCAUGAUGGAGGAUGUCAAGGUCAAGUUCAGGGAGUACUACUGGGAGUAUGGGAAGAGCCCGUUUCAGGAGGGCGAGAUUCUCGACCGCGGGGAGGUUAACCAAGGGAAUGGGAAAUUAGGGUUAGGGUCGGGGGCGAAUGGGAGUAGUGCGGGUCGGUGUGAGGUGCACGGGUGCAAGGUGAAGGCGAUGGCGUUGACUAAGUUUUGUCACUCGCAUAUAUUGUCGGAUGCCAAGCAGAAGCUGUACAAGGGGUGCAGUUACGCGACCAAGAGUUCAGCAACGGGACCUACUCUUUGUAUGAAACCUAUACUAAGAUCCACUGUUCCUUCUCUCUGCCCUCUUCAUUUAGAAAAGGCUGAAAAGCAUGUUACAAGGGCCUUGAGGAAAGCCGGUCUUAAUGUCACUUCUACGAGCAAGCUUGCUCCCAAGUUUCAUGUGGUCGUUGCAGAAUAUGUUCGUCAAAUCCAGUCUAAAAGGAGAGCUGCACAGAAGGCACUUGGUGUUUCAAUUGAAAGCAAAGAGGGCAAUACCAUGUAAUGCUUUGGAUACUUUAGUAAAGUUCCCAUUAAGCUGGUGCACAGAUGUAUCUGAGGAUCUUGGACGACAUUAUACUGGUGAUUUAAUGUUGCAAGAAUCAGAUUCAGACGGAUCGUGGACUUCUGCCUUCAAAGACAUAAAGUUCUGCUUUUGGAAGGUGUUGGAAGCAGGGAUGAUUGCUCUGUAAGCUGGUAGGGUAGCAUUAUAUGUAGCAUUAAAGCCAAAUCAUAGGGGAGUGGUGUGCAUGAAAAGUCAUUGCACUUGCAGACUCCUUGGAAUAUACCAUUUGAAUGACAAACCAGAAUUCUAACUCUAAACCAAUGAUAUAGUUUGAUAGUCUUGUUCGUAUUGCAUAUGUGCCUUUGUCGGGGGUUCUUUUUGGUUGACUGCUACUAUAACUAGUCAUGGAAUCAAUUAGGUUUUCAUUGUCGAGGAAUCGUGUAUCGGUAAAAUACGUGUUCCUAUAUGUUCAUAUAUGUAGCAUAGGCUGCAUAGCAUUGUAUUUUUCUUUCUUCAUCUAUUCAAAAGUUCAAAUUCGCUUCUCUCA